rnacentral:rRNA from 1 species
ACAUCCAGAGAACUUUCCAGAGAUGGAUUGGUGCCUUCGGGAACUCUGAGACAGGUGCUGCAUGGCUGUCGUCAGCUCGUGUUGUGAAAUGUUGGGUUAAGUCCCGCAACGAGCGCAACCCUUAUCCUUUGUUGCCAGCGGUCCGGCCGGGAACUCAAAGGAGACUGCCAGUGAUAAACUGGAGGAAGGUGGGGAUGACGUCAAGUCAUCAUGGCCCUUACGAGUAGGGCUACACACGUGCUACAAUGGCGCAUACAAAGAGAAGCGACCUCGCGAGAGCAAGCGGACCUCGUAAAGUGCGUCGUAGUCCGGAUUGGAGUCUGCAACUCGACUCCAUGAAGUCGGAAUCGCUAGUAAUCGUGGAUCAGAAUGCCACGGUGAAUACGUUCCCGGGCCUUGUACACACCGCCCGUCACACCAUGGGAGUGGGUUGCAAAAGAAGUAGGUAGCUUAACCUUCGGGAGGGCGCUUACCACUUUGUGAUUCAUGACUGGGGUGAAGUCGUAACAAGGUAAGCGUAGAUGA